AAUUCAUGUUAAGGACAGCGUCAAAUCAAAUCUUUAUAUCCUUCACAUGCUUCAUAGCAUGACUCGAAAUCAUUUUGCUUGAAUUGACCAAUCUCACUCUUGAGUU